ensembl:lncRNA
CUUGGAUUAAACCUGCAGGAUAAAUUGCAGAUAUUUCAAACUGAUGGGAUAAUUUCUGAAUGUAAUGAAGUUACGAGACUGCUGCUGCUGCUGCUGCUGCUAAGUCGCUUCAGUCGUGUCGGACUCUGUGCGACCCCAUAGACGGCAGCCCAUCAGGCUCCCCCGUCCCUGGGAUUCUCCAGGCAAGAACACUGGAGUGGGUUGCCAUUUCCUUCUCCAAUGCAUGAAAGUGAAAAGUGAAAGUGAAGUCACUCAGUCGUGUCUGACUCUUCGAGACCCCAUGGACUGCAGCCCACCAGGCUAUGCCGUCCAUGGGAUUUUCCAGGCAAGAGUACUAGAGUGGGGUGCCAUCACCUUCUCCGAACAGACUGCUAGUGGGUAUAUAACAUCCACCUGAAGACUAGCAGGGGGGUACUCUUUCUGUCCCCUUCUGAUGCCUAUGUCAGAGGCUUUCUCUAUCUCCUUUAUACUUUAAUAAAACCUUAUUAC